GAUGAAGAACGCAGCGAAAUGCGAUACGUAAUGUGAAUUGCCGAAUUCAGUGAAUCAUCGAGUCUUUGAACGCACAUUGCGCCCCCUGGUAUUCCGGGGGGCAUGCCUGUCCGAGCGUCAUUGCUGCCCUCAAGCACGGCUUGUGUGUUGGGCCUCCGUCCUCCUCCCGGGGGACGGGCCCGAAAGGCAGCGGCGGCACCGCGUCCGGUCCUCGAGCGUAUGGGGCUUCGUCACCCGCUCUUGUAGGCCCGGCCGGCGCUUGCCGACACAUCAAUCUUUUUUCCAGGUUGACCUCGGAUCAGGUAGGGAUACCCGCUGAACUUAAGCAUAUCAAUAAGCGGAGGA
rnacentral:misc_RNA from 1 species